AUCUGCUGUAAAUUAUUAGGGGUUUUACUGAGAAGAACAAGAUUGAGAGUUUGUGAGAAAAUUGAGUACUAAUCUUUGUUCGAGUUUUUCAGAAAAGUACUAAAGAUGCAGAAGUAGAGAAGGGUGUUCCUGAUUUUUGGCUCAAUGCUGUGAAGACAAAUGAAGUUUUAAUGGAGGAGAUCACAGAGCGUGACGAAGGUGCUCUCAAGUAUCUGAAAGAUAUCAAUUGGUGCAGGAUUGAAGAGCUCAAGGGAUUCAAUUCAAGUCUUUUUGUUUAGAUAUUGAUCUUAGAUGCUCCUCCAGCUCUUCAGAAGCUAAGAGA